GAAGAAGAAAACAAGGGUUCUGUUGAAUUUCAAGUAUCCAGUCUCACCAAUAAGAUACCGAGACUUGCAUCACAUUUGGAAUGACACAUAAAAGAUACUUCAUCGGAAAGAGGUCUAUGAAGAUUGGGCAAACGUCGACGUUCGCUGGCUCAUUUGGCAAAGAAAAUAGAGUGCGUGAUAAGAAACUAA
rnacentral:rRNA from 1 species